UCUCUCUCCUCUCCCUCUCCCCCCUGCGUCGCCCACCCUUCUUCUUCUUUUUCCGAUUUCUUCGCCGUCCGGCGUCCAAUAGACGUGAUUCCAGUUUCCCUUGGACCGUCUCUUCUUCCUCUAUACGGUGGUACCAGUGGGUAUCGGCGAUUUGGCCGGAAAACCCCGAAUUUAUGCAAUCAUUGUUACUGUAGCAGUUUGCUUCUCCGGCGAGAUUCUCCAGUUUCCGGCUAUCUCCGGCGGCAAAAAUGGUUCUAUUAGGAGUGCCUCGAGUCACUGAUCAUCUUCCCUCAAGACUUCUAGCUGAAAUUUCCACGUUUGGAAGGUGAAUUUGAAGGAUUUCCAAAUUGGUGGGUUUGGAGAUUUCCGGGUUUGUGUUCAUCGGCAAAAUUGGAGCACUUCAAGGGGAGACGUAUCGGACUACUAGUCGGCAAAGGAGCUCUAUUGCGUGGUCACCUAAAUAGUACUUUUGCAGGCGAAAUUAGUUGAGGUCGGGCGUACAUUGGAGUUGAGGCAUAGACAACAGCGUGGCUUCCGCGUUUUUAUUUGAUUUAGGUUUUCCUUGAUCACCCUUGCUAUUAGAUUUGCUCUGACUACCUGAGGAAAUUAAUGUUAUUUAAGUUGUGUUUUGUGUCAUAUGAUUUUGGUUGAUGUUGUUUGGGGGAGCAGGGUGGCUCCAGGAGAAUAAGGAUGGAUGAUUUAUAAGUGUCAAUUUUCUUUCUACAGGUUUUGGGUUGUCCACUUUAGGGGAAGUUCUGCCAAAUUUUUGGCAAAAUUUCUUCUAAGGUGGGCCCCGCAGGUCCACUUCGGAUUUCAGGGUGAAAUCCGGGGCGGGUCCUGUCACAAUAUCAGCAAAACCUUCCAAAACACUUAUGUCGUUUUGGGGAGGGGAUAGAGAACGCAGGCCAGCGUACGCGUUGGCGGCGUUUUUGGUGUGUGAUGGGUCUGAAUCCAUCAUCUUUCUGUAGGGAUAGAACA